AACUCAAAAAAUUUGGCGGUAUUUNNNNCNNUNNAGAGGAACCUGUAAUGUAAUCGAUAUUCCACGAUGUAUCUUACUUAACUUUGUAAUUUAAUUUGUAUAUCGCCGUUAUUUGAAAAUUUUAUAAGAAAAAUAAUUUUCUAAAAUUUUUAUUAAAAAAAUAAAUCAGGUCAAGGKGCAGUUUAUAGUUAAGUUUUAUAUGGGUUACAAUAAAUAUAUUUAUACGAAAUUUGUAUUGAAAUUAGUUUUUAAAAAGAAGGUGGAUUUGAUAGUAAAUUUUAAAAGAUAGUAAARUUGAUUUUAGCUCUAAAAUAUGUACMCAUCGCCCGUCGCUCUUGUUAUUAAUAUAAGAUAAGUCGUAACAUAGUAGAUGUACUGGAAAGUGUAUCUAGAAUAUCAAUUUAAAGCUUAUUAAGUAAAGUAUUUCAUUUACAUUGAAAGGAUUAUUGUGCAAAUCAAUAUAAAUUGAUAUAAAUUAAUUAUUAAUUUUUUUUUUUUUAGAUUUAUUUAUUAAAAAUAAUUGUAUUUUUUAUUCUGUUUAAGUAUUUUAUAAAAAAAUAAUAAUUUUAAUUAUAGAUAAUUAGUAAUGUAAA
rnacentral:rRNA from 1 species